UUUCCGUAGGUGAACCUGCGGAAGGAUCAUUACAGUAGUCGCCCGGGUUGCCGCAAGGCCUCCCGGGUAACCUACCACCCUUUGUUUAUUACACUUUGUUGCUUUGGCAGGCCUGCCCUCGGGCUGCUGGCUCCGGCCGGCGAGCGCUUGCCAGAGGACCUAAACUCUGUUUGUCUAUACUGUCUGAGUACUAUACAAUAGUUAAAACUUUCAACAACGGAUCUCUUGGUUCUG
rnacentral:misc_RNA from 1 species